CGUGCCCGAGGCGACCCUGAAAACUUCAGUUUACUUUGUUCUACUUGCAUCUGAGAAUUAUUGGACACUUCUUUGUUGUGGACACUUAAUUUUCUCAGUAAUAUUUCAGGAGUAUCCGGAAAUAAAACAAUAGAAUUGAGUUAAUGGCAAUAUUGCGAAUAUUUGGAGCAGUUAUCAAUGUCAUACAGAUGUAUCCUUGGAGUUGAUCUGAUAUUUAUCUGUUUGAAAUGGCAACAUAUUGCAUCGGUUUGAUAGUGGAAUGCUGGUGCUGUAAGUCCCUCCCAGUGCUCUCCCUACUGGUUAGCAGCUGCAGCUUCCUUGGCAAAUAGGCCUCACUGUUAGAACCGCUGGAAAAAUUAUAGCAAUAUUAUGUGAUCAACAAGAUCAAGGUAGGCGUUUUCAAAGCAUGAUAUUUUUAAUGAAAGCAACGAGGAGUAAACUUUAUCUUGUUCAAUGGAUUAAUUAACAAAGGGUACAGAUCGGUUUGUUUUCUCUUUUGUUGGCAUUUUUUAUUAUUGCUCUGGCUGAUGUUCAGUUACUGCUGGUGGAGCAAGGAGGAACAAUCAACACAUUUAGCAUUUAUCUUGCUAAAACUGAAGGUUAUUGUGAGCUGCAGGAAUAACGGAAAGGCGGCAGCAUCAUGCUCGACCUGUGAUCCGCCUCGGAGCGGGACACAUCCUCCCGCUUGGCACCCUAAGCUAGCUACUUCCUCCCCAAGCAAUGGCAACCUACAACAUCAUUUCGUGCAAGGUAACUCAGCCAUAUUCCAUAUGUGUGCAAGGCGAUUUUCAUGGUUUACUAGGAUGCAAAGCUAUUUUCUCUAUUGGCAGGGGCUCCCAAUAAAUCUAUUGUAGUGUCAUAUGUGGGCGAAGUGCUUUUCAGGGUUUACUAGGAUGCAAAGCUAUUUCCCCUCUUGGCAGGUCAGCAAUGGAGGCUUGACUGACUUUGUUGUCUUUGUUGCCCUGAACUGAAUUAAGCGUCGGUCACCUCCAGCCUUUGUAUGGCUGUGACCCAG